GACGAACGCUGGCGGCGUGCUUAACACAUGCGAGUCGAACGGAAAGGCCCUGCUUUUGUGGGGUGCUCGAGUGGCGAACGGGUGAGUAACACGUGAGUAACCUGCCCUUGACUUUGGGAUAACUUCAGGAAACUGGGGCUAAUACCGGAUAGGAGCUCCUGCUGCAUGGUGGGGGUUGGAAAGUUUCGGCGGUUGGGGAUGGACUCGCGGCUUAUCAGCUUGUUGGUGGGGUAGUGGCUUACCAAGGCUUUGACGGGUAGCCGGCCUGAGAGGGUGACCGGCCACAUUGGGACUGAGAUACGGCCCAGCCUCCUACGGGAGGCAGCAGUGGGGAAUAUUGCACAAUGGGCGGACGCCUGAUGCAGCAACGCCGCGUGCGGGAUGACGGCCUUCGGGUUGUAAACCGCUUUCGCCUGUGACGAAGCGUGAGUGACGGUAAUGGGUAAAGAAGCACCGGCUAACUACGUG
rnacentral:rRNA from 1 species